rnacentral:misc_RNA from 1 species
GAUGAAGAACGUAGCGAAAUGCGAUAAGUAAUGCGAAUUGCAGAAUUCCAGUGAGUCAUCGAAUCUUUGAACGCACAUUGCGCCCUUUGGUAUUCCGAAGGGCAUGCCUGUUCGAGCGUCAUUAUCACCCCUCAAGCCCUCGGCUUGGUGUUGGACGGUUUGGUGGAGGCCCCCUCGGGGGCUCCUGCCCCUCCCAAAGACAAUGACGGCGGCCUCGUUGGACCCCCGGUACACUGAGUUCUUCACGGGACACGUAUCGGACACAUGGGUUUACGGGACACGGUCUGCCUCCCCUCAGGGAGAAUCUUUCUAAGGUUGACCUCGGAUCAGGUAGGGAUACCCGCUGAACUUAAGCAUAUCAAUAAGCGGAGGA